AAAUUGAAGAGUUUGAUCAUGGCUCAGAUUGAACGCUGGCGGCAGGCCUAACACAUGCAAGUCGAACGGUAGCACAGAGAGCUUGCUCUCGGGUGACGAGUGGCGGACGGGUGAGUAAUGUCUGGGAAACUGCCUGAUGGAGGGGGAUAACUACUGGAAACGGUAGCUAAUACCGCAUAACGUCGCAAGACCAAAGAGGGGGACCUUCGGGCCUCUUGCCAUCAGAUGUGCCCAGAUGGGAUUAGCUAGUAGGUGGGGUAAUGGCUCACCUAGGCGACGAUCCCUAGCUGGUCUGAGAGGAUGACCAGCCACACUGGAACUGAGACACGGUCCAGACUCCUACGGGAGGCAGCAGUGGGGAAUAUUGCACAAUGGGCGCAAGCCUGAUGCAGCCAUGCCGCGUGUAUGAAGAAGGCCUUCGGGUUGUAAAGUACUUUCAGCGAGGAGGAAGGUGUUGAGGUUAAUAACCUCAGCAAUUGACGUUACUCGCAGAAGAAGCACCGGCUAACUCCGUGCCAGCAGCCGCGGUAAUACGGAGGGUGCAAGCGUUAAUCGGAAUUACUGGGCGUAAAGCGCACGCAGGCGGUCUGUCAAGUCGGAUGUGAAAUCCCCGGGCUCAACCUGGGAACUGCAUUCGAAACUGGCAGGCUAGAGUCUUGUAGAGGGGGGUAGAAUUCCAGGUGUAGCGGUGAAAUGCGUAGAGAUCUGGAGGAAUACCGGUGGCGAAGGCGGCCCCCUGGACAAAGACUGACGCUCAGGUGCGAAAGCGUGGGGAGCAAACAGGAUUAGAUACCCUGGUAGUCCACGCCGUAAACGAUGUCGACUUGGAGGUUGUUCCCUUGAGGAGUGGCUUCCGGAGCUAACGCGUUAAGUCGACCGCCUGGGGAGUACGGCCGCAAGGUUAAAACUCAAAUGAAUUGACGGGGGCCCGCACAAGCGGUGGAGCAUGUGGUUUAAUUCGAUGCAACGCGAAGAACCUUACCUACUCUUGACAUCCAGAGAACUUAGCAGAGAUGCUUUGGUGCCUUCGGGAACUCUGAGACAGGUGCUGCAUGGCUGUCGUCAGCUCGUGUUGUGAAAUGUUGGGUUAAGUCCCGCAACGAGCGCAACCCUUAUCCUUUGUUGCCAGCGGUCCGGCCGGGAACUCAAAGGAGACUGCCAGUGAUAAACUGGAGGAAGGUGGGGAUGACGUCAAGUCAUCAUGGCCCUUACGAGUAGGGCUACACACGUGCUACAAUGGCGCAUACAAAGAGAAGCGACCUCGCGAGAGCAAGCGGACCUCAUAAAGUGCGUCGUAGUCCGGAUUGGAGUCUGCAACUCGACUCCAUGAAGUCGGAAUCGCUAGUAAUCGUAGAUCAGAAUGCUACGGUGAAUACGUUCCCGGGCCUUGUACACACCGCCCGUCACACCAUGGGAGUGGGUUGCAAAAGAAGUAGGUAGCUUAACCUUCGGGAGGGCGCUUACCACUUUGUGAUUCAUGACUGGGGUGAAGUCGUAACAAGGUAACCGUAGGGGAACCUGCGGUUGGAUCACCUCCUUACCUUAAAGAA
rnacentral:rRNA from 1 species